rnacentral:sRNA from 1 species
GUUCACUUAGAUUGUUCUUAGUAUGAGGUGUUCUCGUACUAAGUAGAGUCUAAGAGAACAAGAUC